rnacentral:ncRNA from 1 species
ACUCUCCUUGACAAGGAUGGAAGAGGCUCUCGGGCCUGACAACAUGCAUACGGUUAAGGAAUUGCUACCUACUUCGUGGCAUCUAACCAGUGUUUUUU